rnacentral:rRNA from 1 species
GAUGAACGCUGGCGGCGUGCCUAAUACAUGCAAGUCGAGCGAACAGACGAGGAGCUUGCUCCUCUGACGUUAGCGGCGGACGGGUGAGUAACACGUGGAUAACCUACCUAUAAGACUGGGAUAACUUCGGGAAACCGGAGCUAAUAACGGAUAAUAUAUUGAACCGCAUGGUUCAAUAGUGAAAGACGGUUUUGCUGUCACUAAUAGAUGGAUCCGCGCCGCAUUAGCUAGUUGGUAAGGUAACGGCUUACCAAGGCAACGAUGCGUAGCCGACCUGAGAGGGUGAUCGGCCACACUGGAACUGAGACACGGUCCAGACUCCUACGGGAGGCAGCAGUAGGGAAUCUUCCGCAAUGGGCGAAAGCCUGACGGAGCAACGCCGCGUGAGUGAUGAAGGUCUUCGGAUCGUAAAACUCUGUUAUUAGGGAAGAACAAAUGUGUAAGUAACUAUGCACGUCUUGACGGUACCUAAUCAGAAAGCCACGGCUAACUACGUG